UCAGCAGCCGCGGUAAUACGGAGGGUGCAAGCGUUAUCCGGAUUUACUGGGUUUAAAGGGUGCGUAGGUGGAUUUGUAAGUCAGUGGUGAAAUCUCCGAGCUUAACUCGGAAACUGCCAUUGAUACUAUAAGUCUUGAAUUAUCUGGAGGUAAGCGGAAUAUGUCAUGUAGCGGUGAAAUGCUUAGAUAUGACAUAGAACACCAAUUGCGAAGGCAGCUUACUACGGAUAUAUUGACACUGAGGCACGAAAGCGUGGGGAUCAAACAGGAUUAGAUACCCUGGUAGUCCACGCCCUAAACGAUGGAUACUCGACAUCAGCGAUACACUGUAUGUGUCUGAGCGAAAGCAUUAAGUAUCCCACCUGGGAAGUACGAUCGCAAGAUUGAAACUCAAAGGA
rnacentral:rRNA from 1 species